rnacentral:rRNA from 1 species
UCCCAGACUCCUACGGGAGGCAGCAGUGGGGAAUAUUGGGCAAUGGGCGCAAGCCUGACCCAGCAACGCCGCGUGAAGGAAGAAGGCUCUCGGGUUGUAAACUUCUUUUAUCAGGGACGAAGCAAGUGACGGUACCUGAUGAAUAAGCCACGGCUAACUACGUGCCAGCAGCCGCGGUAAUACGUAGGUGGCAAGCGUUAUCCGGAUUUACUGGGUGUAAAGGGCGUGUAGGCGGGAAAGCAAGUCAGAUGUGAAAACCAUGGGCUCAACCUGUGGCCUGCAUUUGAAACUGUAGUUCUUGAGUACUGGAGAGGCAGACGGAAUUCCUAGUGUAGCGGUGAAAUGCGUAGAUAUUAGGAGGAACACCAGUGGCGAAGGCGGGCUGCUGGACAGCAACUGACGCUGAGGCGCGAAAGCGUGGGGAGCAAACAGGAUUAGAUACCCCAGUAUC